AUUGAACGCUGGCGGCAUGCUUUACACAUGCAAGUCGGACGAGUGGCGAACGGGUGAGUCACGCAUCGGAACGUACCGAGUAAUGGGGGAUAACUGUCCGAAAGGACAGCUAAUACCGCAUAUUAUUCUACCUGCCGAUGUCUGAUUAGCUGGUUGGCGGGGUAAAGGCCCACCAAGGCGACGAUCAGUAGCGGGUCUGAGAGGAUGGUCCGCACCACUGGGACGGAGACACGGCCCAGACUCCUACGGGAGGCAGCAGGGUGGAAUUUUGGACAAUGGGGGCAAGCCUGAUCCAGCCAUGCGGCGUGUCUGAAGAAGGCCUUCGGGUUGUAAAGGACUUUUGUCAGGGAAGCGGUACCUGAAGAAUAAGCACCGGCUAACUACGUGCCAGCCGCCGCGGUAAUUA
rnacentral:rRNA from 1 species